rnacentral:rRNA from 1 species
CCAAUAGCGUAUAUUAAAGUUGUUGCAGUUAAAAAGCUCGUAGUUGAAUUUCGGAAUCUGUCCGUCGGUCGGGCUUAACUGUCCGUACUGGUGUGGUGGGUUCUUACCUUCUGAAUAACCAGCAUGCCAUUAACUUGGUGCGUUGGGGAAGCAGGACUAUUACCUUGAAAAAAUUAGAGUGCUCAAAGCAGGCUAGUGCCUGAAUACAUUAGCAUGGGAUAAUAAAAUAGGACGGCAUGGUUCUAUUUUGUUGGUUUCUAGGAUCACCGUAAUGAUUAAUAGGGAUAGUUGGGGGCAUUAGUAUUCAAUUGUCAGAGGUGAAAUUCUUGGAUUUAUUGAAGACUAACUUCUGCGAAAGCAUUUGCCAAGGGUGUUUUCAUUAAUCAAGAACGAAAGUUAGGGGAUCGAAGACGAUCAGAUACCGUCGUAGUCUUAACCAUAAACUAUGCCGACUAGGGAUCGGACGAUGUUAAUUUUUUUAAUGACUCGUUCGGCGCCUUACG